GCCGGGCGUGGUGGUGCACGCCUGUAAUCCCAGCUACUCGGGAGGCUGAGGCACAAGAAUCGUUUGAACCCAGGAGGCAGAGGUUGCAGUGAGCCAAGAUUGUGCCACUGCACUCUAGCCUGGGUGACAAAGCGAGACUCUGUCUCAA
rnacentral:SRP_RNA from 1 species